AUGUCAUCUCUUUCUAAGCUCAACACUUCGAAGACAAUCCGUAGGUCUUCAGAAUUAUUUGAUGGUUGGGCUUCUUCCAGCUUCAACUCUUCAUCAGCACAUUCAAAUGACAAUGAAGCAAACACACAUCUCUCUGGCAAAUGGAAGAUAGGCCAUCAAUUUCAGCAUCAAGAAUUUGAGAAUAAAGGCUUCGGCAUGCUUGGAGACAUGUUUGUUCUCUCUGACCAGGAAACAUCAAAACUUGCUACCAAACAACGUCAUACAAAUGUCCAAAGGGAGAACUGCUCCCUGUUCUGUACCUGCACCAAUUGCUAUCGAAAACAAAGAUUGCGCAAGAUUCCUUGA
rnacentral:rRNA from 1 species